rnacentral:rRNA from 1 species
AAGCACGUAGGUGGGUUUGUAAGUCAGAUGUGAAAGCCUCCUGUUCAACGGGAGAAUUGCAUCUGAAACUACUGAUCUUGAGUGUAGGAGGGGAGAAUGGAACUUCUGGUGGAGCGGUGAAAUGCGUAGAUAUCAGAAGGAGCGCCGGCGGCGAAAGCGAUUCUCUGGCCUAUUACUGACACUCAGUGUGCGAAAGCUAGGGGAGCAAACGGGAUUAGAUACCCCGGUAGUCCUAGCCGUAAACGAUGGGCACUAAGUAGAGGGGUUUU